rnacentral:rRNA from 1 species
AGAGUUUGAUCCUGGCUCAGAACGUACGCUGGCGGCACGCCUAACACAUGCAAGUCGAACGAAGUAGCAAUACUUAGUGGCAAACGGGUGAGUAUGAUGUGGGUAUCUGCCCUUUGGUUUGGAAUAACACGAGGAAACUUGUGCUAAUACCGGAUAAGCCUUCACAGGGAAAGCUUUAGCGCCAAAGGAUGAGCCCGCACUUGAUUAGCUAGUUGGUAAGGUAAAAGCUUACCAAGGCUACGAUCAAUAGCUGAUCUGAGAGGAUGAUCAGCCACAUUGGGACUGAGACACGGCCCAAACUCCUACGGGAGGCAGCAGUGGGGAAUCUUGCACAAUGGGGGAAACCCUGAUGCAGCGAUGCCGCGUGAGUGAAGAAGGCCUUUGGGUUGUAAAGCUCUUUCGUCGAGGAAGAAAAUGACUGUACUCGAAUAAGAAGGUCCGGCUAACUUCGUGCCAGCAGCCGCGGUAAUACGAAGGGACCUAGCGUAGUUCGGAAUUACUGGGCUUAAAGAGCACGUAGGUGGUUAGAUAAGUUGGUGGUGAAAUCCCAAGGCUUAACCUUGGAACUGCCACCAAAACUAUUUAACUUGAGUGUGAUAGAGGUAAGCGGAAUUUCUAGUGUAGAGGUGAAAUUCGUAGAUAUUAGAAAGAACACCAAUUGCGAAGGCAGCUUUCUGGAUCAUUACUGACACUGAGGUGCGAAAGCAUGGGUAGCGAAGAGGAUUAGAUACCCUCGUAGUCCAUGCUGUAAACGAUGUGUGCUAGACGUUGGAAAUUUAUUUUUCAGUGUCGCAGCAAAAGCGUUAAGCACACCGCCUGGGGAGUACGACCGCAAGGUUAAAACUCAAAUGAAUUGACGGGGACCCGCACAAGUAGUGGAGCAUGUGGUUUAAUUCGAAGAUACGCGCAGAACCUUACCAACACUUGACAUGUUCGUCGCGACUCUAAGAGAUUAGAGUCUUCGGUUCGGCCGGACGAAACACAGGUGCUGCAUGGCUGUCGUCAGCUCGUGUCGUGAGAUGUUGGGUUAAGUCCCGCAACGAGCGCAACCCUUACUUUUAGUUGCCAUCAUUUAGUUGGGCACUCUGAAAGAACUGCCAGUGAUAAGCUGGAGGAAGGUGGGGAUGACGUCAAGUCCUCAUGGCCCUUACGUGUUGGGCUACACACGUGCUACAAUGGCAUUUACAAUGGGAAGCAAAGAGGCGACUCUAAGCAAAUCCCAAAAAAAUGUCUCAGUUCGGAUUGUACUCUGCAACUCGAGUACAUGAAGCUGGAAUUACUAGUAAUCGCGGAUCAGCGCGCCGCGGUGAAUACGUUCCCGGGUCUUGUACACACCGCCCGUCACACCAUGGAAGUUGGUUCUACCUUAAGGCAAAGCAUAAAACCUUUGACCACGGUAUAGUCAGCGACUGGGGUGAAGUCGUAACAAGGUAACC